AGCAGCCGCGGUAAUUCCAGCUCCAAUAGCGUAUAUUAAAGUUGUUGCAGUUAAAAAGCUCGUAGUUGAAUUUCGGGGUCAGUAGAUUGGUCAUGCCACUGGUAUGUACUGGUCUCACUGAUUCCUCCUUCCUGAUGAGCCGUAAUGCCAUUAAUUUGGUGUUGCGAGGAAUCUGGACUGUUACUUUGAAAAAAUUAGGGUGUUUAAAGCAGGCUAACGCUUGAAUACAUUAGCAUGGAAUAAUGAAAUAGGACGUUCGAUCUUAUUUUGUUGGUUUCUAAGAUUGACGUAAUGAUUAAUAGGGAUAGUUGGGGGUAUUAGUAUUCAAUUGUCAGAGGUGAAAUUCUUGGAUUUAUUGAAGACUAACUACUGCGAAAGCAUUUGCCAAGGAUGUUUUCAUUAAUCAAGAACGAAAGUUAGGGGAUCGAAGACGAUCAGAUACCGUCGUAGUCUUAACCAUAAACUAUGCCGACUAGGGAUCGGACGAAGUUAAUUUUAUAAUGACGCG
rnacentral:rRNA from 1 species